AUGGGAGGAGCCAACCCAGAAUUUUCACUUUAUGAUUUCUCCAAGAUAAAAGAAGCUACAAAUAACUUCUCAAUUGGUAACAAACUGGGACAAGGUGGCUUUGGUCCUGUAUAUAAGGGCCGAUUAAGAAAUGGACACAAAAUAGCAGUCAAGAGACUGGAAACAUCUUCUUUGCAAGGUUUACUGGAAUUCCAGAACGAAAUUCAACUUAUAGCAAAGGUUCAACACAAAAAUCUCGUUAAACUGCUGGGAUGUUGCACUCAAGGAGAUCGAGAAAAGAUGCUUGUAUAUGAAUACAUGGAAAACAAAAGCCUAGACUACUUCAUCUUCGAUAUCAUUAAAGGAAGGCGAUUAAACUGGUCAAAACGUUUGCGCAUAAUUGAUGGGACAGCUCAAGGUCUUCUUUAUCUUCACAACUACUCACGAAUAUGCAUUGUUCAUAGGGAUUUGAAAGCAAGUAACAUUCUCUUGGAUAGUGUCAUGAAUCCAAAAAUAUCUGAUUUCGGAGUGGCCAGAAUAUUCUCCUCAAAUAUGUCAGAGUCAAAUACCACCAGAAUAGUGGGAACACGAUGGAAAAUGGAGUGA
rnacentral:rRNA from 1 species